rnacentral:lncRNA from 1 species
ACGUAGGUUCUUCUGGUGUUAAUUUGCACUCAUUAUCAUCCAUUUCUCAAGCCUAUAAUUAACUUUAAUUUAAGCUUUUUUAAAAAAAAUAUCGUGACAAAAUUCCAUCAAACAAGGACUUGGAUUCACGUCCAAAAACCCUAGUUAAUUUGAGUCUAAUUCGGAUGUUUUGGUCCGAACUUUUCAAAUCUUUACAGUCCAAA